UACGGAGGGUGCAAGCGUUAUCCGGAUUCACUGGGUUUAAAGGGUGCGUAGGUGGGCAGGUAAGUCAGUGGUGAAAUCUCUGGGCUUAACCCGGAAACUGCCGUUGAUACUAUCUGUCUUGAAUAUAGUGGAGGUGAGCGGAAUAUGUCAUGUAGCGGUGAAAUGCUUAGAUAUGACAUAGAACACCGAUUGCGAAGGCAGCUAACUACGGGAUGAUUGACACUGAUGCACGAAAGCGUGGGGAUCAAACAGG
rnacentral:rRNA from 1 species